CACUCAACCUGAGAGUUUGAUUCUGGCUCAGAACGAACGCUGGCGGCAGGCUUAACACAUGCAAGUCGAACGACAUAGUGGCAGACGGGUGAGUAACGCGUGGGAACGUACCCUUCACUACGGAAUAGCUUCUGGAAACGGAAGGUAAUACCGUAUACGCCCUUCGGGGGAAAGAUUUAUCGGUGAAGGAUCGGCCCGCGUUGCAUUAGUUUGUUGGUGGGGGAAUGGCCUAUCAAGACUACGAUGCAUAGCUGGUCUGAGAGGAUGAUCAGCCACACUGGGACUGAGACACGGCCCAGACUCCUACGG
rnacentral:rRNA from 1 species